rnacentral:rRNA from 1 species
GGAAUCUUAGACAAUGGGCGCAAGCCUGAUCUAGCCAUACCGCGUGGGUGAUGAAGGCCUUCGGGUUGUAAAGCCCUUUCACCGGGGACGAUGAUGACGGUACCCGGAGAAGAAGCACCGGCUAACUCCGUGCCAGCAGCCGCGGUAAGACGGAGGGUGCUAGCGUUGUUCGGAAUCACUGGGCGUAAAGGGCGCGUAGGCGGCCUGGGAAGUCGGCUUGUGAAAGCCCGGGGCUCAACCCCGGAGGUGCGGCCGAUACUCCUAGGCUCGAGGCCGGAAGAGGAGGGUGGAAUACCCAGUGUAGAGGUGAAAUUCGUAGAUAUUGGGUGGAACACCGGUGGCGAAAGCGGCUCUCUGGUCCGGUCCUGACGCUGAGGCGCGAAAGCGUGGGGAGCAAAC